ensembl:snoRNA
GGUCCCUGAUGAGUUUUGGCAUGUAUUAUCUGACUGUAAAUAUGAAGAUUAUCAGUUUAGCUCUAGAAUUACUCUGAGACCUG